GGGGGGGGGGGGGGGGGGGGCGAGGGGGGGGGGGUGGAGGGGAGGGAGGGGGGGGGGGGUGUUCUGAUGGUAGCGGCUGGCGGGGGCAGAACGCGUGGAUAGCCUGCCUGUCAGGAUUGGAGAGCUUCGUGAACCAUGAGCAAAGACCGGGGGAUAUUUUGCCCGUCAUGGUUCACAAGUGGACGAGUGUCUUGCCGACACUUAUAGGUGGAGCCUUGCAGGCUUAGCUCGUUGGUAAGGUAACGUCUUACCAGGACAACGAUGCAUAUCCGCUCGGAGAGGGUGAUCGCCCACACGGGAACUGAGCCACGGUCCAGACUCCUACGGGAGGCAGCAGUAGGGAAUCUUCCGCAAUGGGCGAAAUCCUGACUGAGCAACGCCGCGUGAGUGAUGAAGGUCUUCGGAUCGUAAAACUCUGUUAUUAGGGAAGAACAUAUGUGUAAGUAACUGUGCACAUCUUGACGGUACCUAAUCAGAAAGCCACGGCUAACUACGUG
rnacentral:rRNA from 1 species